GACGAACGCUGGCGGCGUGCUUAACACAUGCAAGUCGAACGCUGAAGCCCAGCUUGCUGGGUGGAUGAGUGGCGAACGGGUGAGUAACACGUGAGUAACCUGCCCCCUUCUUUGGGAUAACGCCCGGAAACGGGUGCUAAUACUGGAUAUUCACUUGCCUUCGCAUGGGGGUUGGUGGAAAGGUUUUUCUGGUGGGGGAUGGGCUCGCGGCCUAUCAGCUUGUUGGUGGGGUGAUGGCCUACCAAGGCUUUGACGGGUAGCCGGCCUGAGAGGGUGGACGGUCACACUGGGACUGAGAUACGGCCCAGACUCCUACGGGAGGCAGCAGUGGGGAAUAUUGCACAAUGGGCGCAAGCCUGAUGCAGCGACGCCGCGUGAGGGAUGAAGGCCUUCGGGUUGUAAACCUCUUUCGUCAGGGAACAAGGCACUGCUUUUGGUGGUGUUGAGGGUACCUGGAUAAGAAGCGCCGGCUAACUACGUGCCAGCAGCCGCGGUAAUACGUAGGGCGCAAGCGUUGUCCGGAAUUAUUGGGCGUAAAGAGCUCGUAGGCGGCUGGUCGCGUCUGUCGUGAAAACUUCCGGCUCAACCGGGGGCUUGCGGUGGGUACGGGCCGGCUAGAGUGCGGUAGGGGGUAACUGGAACUCCUGGUGUAGCGGUGGAAUGCGCAGAUAUCAGGAAGAACACCGAUGGCGAAGGCAGGUUACUGGCCCGUUACUGACGCUGAGGAGCGAAAGCGUGGGGAGCGAACAGG
rnacentral:rRNA from 1 species